GAUGAACGCAAGCAACAGGCUUAACACAUGCAAGUCGCGGGGAAACGAUAGCGAAAGCUUGAUUUUUCUAGGCGUCGACCGGCGCACGGGUGAGUAACGAGUAUCCAACCUGCCCACCAAUUGGGGAUAACCUUGCGAAAGUAAGACUAAUAUCCAAUGAUAUCUCAAGAACAAAGCUGAAUGAGAUCAAAGCUUUAUCGGUGAUGGAUGGGGAUGCGACUGAAUAGCUUGUUGGCGGGGUAACGGCCCACCACGGCGACGUUCAGUAGGGGUUCUGAGAGGAAGGUCCCCCACAUUUGAACUGAGACACGGUCCAAACUCCUACGGGAGGCAGCAGUGAGGAAUAUUGGUCAAUGGGCGAGAGCCUGAACCAGCCAAGUAGCGUGCAGGAUGACGGCCCUAUGGGUUGUAAACUGCUUUUAUAAGGGAAUAAAGUGAGUCUCGUGAGGCUUUUUGCAUGUACCUUAUGAAUAAGGACCGGCUAAUUCCGUGCCAGCCGCCGCAGUAA
rnacentral:rRNA from 1 species